UAGGGAAUCUUCCACAAUGGGCGCAAGCCUGAUGGAGCAACACCGCGUGAGUGAAGAAGGGUUUCGGCUCGUAAAGCUCUGUUGUAAGUCAAGAACGAGUGUGAGAGUGGAAAGUUCACACUGUGACGGUAGCUUACCAGAAAGGGACGGCUAACUACGUGCCAGCAGCCGCGGUAAUACGUAGGUCCCGAGCGUUGUCCGGAUUUAUUGGGCGUAAAGCGAGCGCAGGCGGUUUGAUAAGUCUGAAGUUAAAGGCUGUGGCUCAACCAUAGUUCGCUUUGGAAACUGUCAAACUUGAGUGCAGAAGGGGAGAGUGGAAUUCCAUGUGUAGCGGUGAAAUGCGUAGAUAUAUGGAGGAACACCGGUGGCGAAAGCGGCUCUCUGGUCUGUAACUGACGCUGAGGCUCGAAAGCGUGGGGAGCGAACAGGAUUAGAUACCCUGGUAGUCCACGCCGUAACGAUGAGUGCUAGGUGUUGGAUCCUUUCCGGGAUUCAGUGCCGCAGCUAACGCAUUAAGCACUCCGCCUGGGGAGUACGACCGCAAGGUU
rnacentral:rRNA from 1 species